rnacentral:tRNA from 1 species
GCCGAGGUCGUCUAGCGGUAUGGCGCCAGCCUGGAAAGCUGGUGACUCGCAAGGGUCUCGUGAGUUCGAAUCUCACCCUCGGCGC